AAUAAGUGCUGUUCAAGUCCAAUGUCUGACCGUUCGUCUUAUUUGGAAAAAAAUAUGAUUAGUAUUUUAUUGUUAUUAGAUGAUAAAAUAUGAAUAGUACUCCAUGUGUGACUAUUUUUUUUUAAUUUUUUUCAUAAAUUUUUCAAAUAAGACGGACGAUCAAAACACUGGACACGGAUAUCUAUGGAUGCACCUAUU
rfam:Oryza glumipatula chromosome 4, whole genome shotgun sequence.